rnacentral:rRNA from 1 species
UACCAGCUCUCCGAGUGGUAGGGAUGAUUAUUGGGCUUAAAGCGUCCGUAGCCGGCUUAGCAAGUCUCCUGUUAAAUUCAGCGACCUAAUCGUUGAGCCGCGGGAGAUACUACUAGGCUAGGAGGCGGGAGAGGUCAACGGUACUUCCGGGGUAGGGGUGAAAUCCUAUAAUCCCGGGAGGACCACCAGUGGCGAAGGCUGUUGACUAGAACGCGCUCGACGGUGAGGGACGAAAGCUGGGGGAGCGAACCGGAUUAGAUACCCGGGUAGUCCCAGCUGUAAACGAUGCGAGCUAGGUGUUGGGGUGGCUACGUGCCACUUCAGUGCCGCAGGGAAGCCAUUAAGCUCGCCGCCUGGGGAGUACGGCCGCAAGGCUGAAACUUAAAGGAAUUGGACGGGGGAGCACCACAAGGCGUGAAGCUUGCGGUUC